rnacentral:piRNA from 1 species
UGGAUUGCCUUGCAAGGUAUAGACAGCCUGC